rnacentral:sRNA from 1 species
UUGUACGAUAGAACGGCUUAUGAAGGGCGGUCGGCUAAUCUCUCUGGAUGAGGGGUGAUGCCCAUGGACAUGUAUCAAACAUUAUCUUUAAUGGUAAUGUUCAAAACGUUGAUUGCGUUAAUCAUGUCCCAAAAGAAAUAGACCGUCCCGACCAAGGAUAACGGUCUAUUCUUUUGACCUUUUCUUAAAGCCUUCCGCUCUUAAAGCGGCUGUCAUGCAGGACCGUGGGUGUUGACUGCACC